rnacentral:rRNA from 1 species
GAUGAACGCUGGCGGCGUGCCUAAUACAUGCAAGUCGAGCGAACAGACGAGGAGCUUGCUCCUCUGACGUUAGCGGCGGACGGGUGAGUAACACGUGGAUAACCUACCUAUAAGACUGGGAUAACUUCGGGAAACCGGAGCUAAUACCGGAUAAUAUAUUGAACCGCAUGGUUCAAUAGUGAAAGACGGUUUUGCUGUCACUUAUAGAUGGAUCCGCGCCGCAUUAGCUAGUUGGUAAGGUAACGGCUUACCAAGGCAACGAUGCGUAGCCGAUCUGAGAGGGUGAUCGGCCACACUGGAACUGAGACACGGUCCAGACUCCUACGGGAGGCAGCAGUAGGGAAUCUUCCGCAAUGGGCGAAAGCCUGACGGAGCAACGCCGCGUGAGUGAUGAAGGUCUUCGGAUCGUAAAACUCUGUUAUUAGGGAAAAACAAAUGUGUAAGUAACUAUGCACGUCUUGACGGUACCUAAUCAGAAAGCCACGGCUAACUACGUG